UCCCAUCACACUCGUUUUGAAGUUCGUUUCAACUGCUCACCAAACGUAUAAAUAUUGAUGGUAAAGCCUUCCCUCAUCAGUUUUUGAUCUGACAACUGACCAAAAGACGACCAUGAUGCAAAGAACACUAAUCAUUUUCACUUUCUUGCUGUUUGUAGCAGCAGUACAGUCUUUCGCUCCAUGGUACAUUUGUGGUAAUCAAAUCUAUGAUCCACAUACGCAAUUCUGUUGCAACAAUAUAGUUCACCAAAAAACUAAUAGUGACAAUGCCUGUUGUAAUAAUGCACCAUACAACGCUUGGUAUAAAGCAUGUUGUGCAGGACAACUCAUCCCUUGGUGGAAAAGCGAGUGCUGUAUUCGCCAUUGGUGGUGGCCUCACGAACACUUAGUGUGCUGAGAUAAAUCCGAAUUCAUUCUCAUUCUGUAAUUGUCCAAGAAUGUAAUGCAACAAAUAGCUCGAUCCUGUCUGAAUAAUUCAAUCACUUAUAUGGAUUACUAAUUUUACCUUGUAAUAAAUAAUUCUGUUGUUAAUAUAGUUUAUAUAUAUACCACUGACGCAGUGUUUGAUAGCCUUAUUAAUGAUUUAAUUACAUAAAAUGUUAUUAAACACUUCCUUUUCUUCAUGUAAAUUUUUAGUUAACUUCCUUUCGUAAAUCAUAAAUCUGUUUAAUUUUUUAAAGUGUCAUCGCACAGAAAAUUUAAUAAAUGAAUAUAAUGGCUGGAAGAAAA